GGGGAAUAUUGCGCAAUGGGGGGGACCCUGACGCAGCCAUGCCGCGUGAAUGAAGAAGGCCUUAGGGUUGUAAAGUUCUUUCGGUAUUGAGGAAGGUUGAUGUGUUAAUAGCACAUCAAAUUGACGUUAAAUACAGAAGAAGCACCGGCUAACUCCGUGCCAGCAGCCGCGGUAAUACGGAGGGUGCGAGCGUUAAUCAGAAUAACUGGGCGUAAAGGGCACGCAGGCGGUUAUUUAAGUGAGGUGUGAAAGCCCUGGGCUUAACCUAGGAAUUGCAUUUCAGACUGGGUAACUAGAGUACUUUAGGGAGGGGUAGAAUUCCACGUGUAGCGGUGAAAUGCGUAGAGAUGUGGAGGAAUACCGAAGGCGAAGGCAGCCCCUUGGGAAUGUACUGACGCUCAUGUGCGAAAGCGUGGGGAGCAAACAGGAUUAGAUACCCUGGUAGUCCACGCUGUAAACGCUGUCGAUUUGGGGGUUGGGGUUUAACUCUGGCGCCCGUAGCUGACGUGAUAAAUCGACCGCCUGGGGAGUACGGCCGCAAGGUUA
rnacentral:rRNA from 1 species